rnacentral:piRNA from 1 species
UGGAAUUCAGCAGAGCUUCAAUCUGGAC